CAAAGCCCCUAAGCACGUUAAUGUCAGACGGGCAAUGAACCUCUGUUAUCUGCGUUCCCUCCAAAAACCACUUCACCAAUACCAUUGCCAACUUUUUAAACCCUUCAUUCCCAAAACCCCAUACCUGCGCUUCAAUAAAGUUAUCAAAUUUUUUAAUCCUGAUCUCUGCGGAAUUUAGCCAACACCCAGAGGUCAUUAGUUUCUCAAGCACAACCCAAAAGUUCAAUUUUUAUUUCUCACUCACAUUAAUACCCUACUCUAAGCUCCUCUCUCAAUGCACUGCUUCGAAAUCUCUAACUCCAGGCAUGGAAAUUCAUGCCCAUG
rnacentral:misc_RNA from 1 species